CGAUACACAAACUUCGCAAAGUCUAGGAAGGCGUGUAUUGGAUAUCUAUAUUCAAGGGAACCUCAGAAGGAAGGAUUCCGACAUAUCGAAGGAGGCAAGUGGGGUUAACAGAGCAGUUGCGAGACCCUUCAAGGUUAAUGUGACAGAGAAUUACCUAGAUAUUCAUCUGUUCUGGGCUGGUAAGGGAACAUGUUGCAUA